rnacentral:rRNA from 1 species
UACGUAGGGUGCGAGCGUUAAUCGGAAUACUGGGCGUAAAGCGUGCGCAGGCGGUUCGUUAAGUUCGUUGUGAAAGCCCCGGGCUCAACCUGGGAACUGCAAUGGAAACUGGCGGGCUUGAGUGUGGCAGAGGGGGGUGGAAUUCCGCGUGUAGCAGUGAAAUGCGUAGAGAUGCGGAGGAACACCGAUGGCGAAGGCAGCCCCCUGGGCCAACACUGACGCUCAGGCACGAAAGCGUGGGGAGCAAACAGG